GACGAACGCUGGCGGCGUGCUUAACACAUGCAAGUCGAACGGAAAGGCCCUGCUUUUGUGGGGUGCUCGAGUGGCGAACGGGUGAGUAACACGUGAGUAACCUGCCCUUGACUUUGGGAUAACUUCAGGAAACUGGGGCUAAUACCGGAUCGGAGAUCCUGCUGCAUGGUGGGGGUUGGAAAGUUUCGGCUGUUGGGGAUGGACGCGCGGCUUAUCAGCUUGUUGGUGGGGUAGUGGAUUACCAAGGCAUUGACCGGUACGCGGCCUGAGAGGGUGGCCGGCCACAAUGCGACUGCGAGACGGACCAGAGUCCUACGGGAGGCAGCAGUGGGGAAUAUUGCACAGUGGGAGGAAGCCUGAUGCAGCAACGCCGCGUUCGGGAUGACCGCCUUCGGGGUGUAAACCGCUUUCGCCUGUGACGAAGCGUGAGUGACGGUAAUGGGUAAAGAAGCACCGGCUAACUACGUG
rnacentral:rRNA from 1 species